rnacentral:rRNA from 1 species
UACGUAGGCAGCAAGCGUUGUUCGGAGUUACUGGGCGUAAAGGGUGUGUAGGCGGUUGUUUAAGUUUGGUGUGAAAUCUCCCGGCUCAACCGGGAGGGUGCGCCGAAUACUGAAUGACUAGAGUGCGGGAGAGGAAAGUGGAAUUCCUGGUGUAGCGGUGAAAUGCGUAGAUAUCAGGAGGAACACCGGUGGUGGAGACUGCUUUCUGGACCGUAACUGACGCUGAGACACGAAAGCGGGGGUAGCAAACAGG